rnacentral:tRNA from 2 species
GGGUGCGUAGUUCACUGGUAGAACGCUUCUCUGAUAAAGAAGAGGUACAUGGUUCGAUUCCAUGCGCACCCACCA